AGUCGAACGGCAGCAUAGGUGCUUGCACCUGAUGGCGAGUGGCGAACGGGUGAGUAAUGCAUCGGAACGUGCCCAGUCGUGGGGGAUAACGCAGCGAAAGCUGUGCUAAUACCGCAUACGAUCUAUGGAUGAAAGCGGGGGACCUUCGGGCCUCGCGCGAUUGGAGCGGCCGAUGUUAGAUUAGGUAGUUGGUGGGGUAAAGGCUCACCAAGCCAACGAUCUAUAGCUGGUCUGAGAGGACGACCAGCCACACUGGAACUGAGACACGGUCCAGACUCCUACGGGAGGCAGCAGUGGGGAAUUUUGGACAAUGGGCGAAAGCCUGAUCCAGCAAUACCGCGUGCAGGAAGAAGGCCCUCGGGUUGUAAACUGCUUUUGUACGGAACGAAACGGCGCGCUCUAAUAAAGUGCGCUAAUGACGGUACCGUAAGAAUAAGCACCGGCUAACUACGUGCCAGCAGCCGCGGUAAUACGUAGGGUGCAAGCGUUAAUCGGAAUUACUGGGCGUAAAGCGUGCGCAGGCGGUUUUGUAAGACAGGCGUGAAAUCCCCGGGCUCAACCUGGGAAUUGCGCUUGUGACUGCAAGGCUAGAGUACGGUAGAGGGGGGUAGAAUUCCGCGUGUAGCGGUGAAAUGCGUAGAUAUGCGGAGGAACACCGAUGGCGAAGGCAGCCCCCUGGACCUGUACUGACGCUCAUGCACGAAAGCGUGUGGAGCAAACAGGAUUAGAUACCCUGGUAGUCCACGCCCUAAACGAUGUCAACUGGUUGUUGGGAAUUUACUUUCUCAGUAACGAAGCUAACGCGUGAAGUUGA
rnacentral:rRNA from 1 species